AUACUUUGUAUUCUUAGAAUUGUAUGACUAAUAUUUAAGUUAUUACAUAUAUUUUCAUCGUUUUCAAAAAAGAGAAUUGUUAAUUCGUUUAAAGGAAUAUUUGCACUAUUAAUAAUGAAAGUCAAAUAAAAAGUCUUAAAUAUUCAGUGACAAUUGCAUGUAUGUAAAAUGUAUAAUACUACAUAUGCAUUUUUUGUGGCUCCAGUCGGACGCUAGCCACACUUUGACCACGUCCUGCGCAUUGACGCA